ensembl:lncRNA
AUUAAACAACAUGUUUGCAGGGGUCCUCUUGGUUGGAUAUUUUAUAGAAUGCAAUAUAAUUUAUACAUUUUAUGUGUUCAUACUUAAGUGUCCAAAUGUUUUGGGUCCAAAUAGUUGUAUUAAAUCUAUUCUUUUUAUUUGUUUAUUGCAUUUCCUAAAAUGAAUGAAAAGCUUCAAAAUCAUGUCUGUUGAAGGUGCAAACAUACCGUUAAUGCUGAAUAAUUGUUUCACUUGUGGACUUUUCAUCAGCAGUAAAUGUAGAUUGCCUUUUUUCCUUUUUUUUGUUCAGCCCUUAGGGAGGAGUUAAUCACUUGACAUUUUUAGUGGAUUUUCAAUUAACCCAUGACAACUGUAACCCAUAAACCUUGUCUGUGCUUAACUUUUUGGCAAAACCAUGAAAAUGACUUAAAUAAAUAGCUCAUUACUUCCAGCACUUGGCCGUCAGAAGUCAUUAUAAAUUUAUGUUAGUUUGUACCAAAAACAGGUUUAUUUUGAAUUAGGGCUUUUUUGGUGACAUGUAUUGACACUGUCUAUAAAUCUCCCUACUUCGUACAUACUCAUUUAGUUUUUUUUUUUUUUUUUUUUUUUUUUUUUUUUUUUUUAUACACCACAGAAGUUCCCGAAACAACUGUCAUUUGCAUUUGCUAUCCACCACACAGACUUGUUUCUUCUGCUUCUUAGUUAAAGUCCAAAACUACUCCUUUUUUGAUUAACUUGGCACUUAUCAGGAGUCAUCUGGCAAACAACCCCCCUUCGACAUGUAAUGUUUAUUUCUGUAAAUAUUUAAAUGGAUGUGUCAGAAAAAACUGUUUUGGAUGCUUUUCUUCCUGUUUCAUGUCAAAUGCAGUUCACCAAAAGCAAAAGGAAAAACAAUCUUACAAGGAGAGAACUUACCAGUGGCUCCACACACAAGCAGUUCAUCCCGACACAGACUCUGCAGGCACGGGACGGCCAGGGGGACAGAGACGGUGGCGAUUAAGGAGCAAGAUUUUGGACUGACUCUACUAGUGUCUCUCCACCUCUUAAAAAGCAUACUCGGCCUCGAAGAUACUUGA